GGCAAUCCAAGUAUCCUAACUUGUAUGCGUUAGCAGCAAUCUCAUGCUUAGACACCUUUGUGGCUUCAACAUGAGUGUCAAACUUGACCAACAACUUGUCACAAUACUAGGCCAGAGCAACAUGCUUACGUUCGAGGCGAAAGUAAGCUUCCUUGCAUUCGAGCAGAGUAGCCAUGAGAGACUUGAGCUCACCAUCUUUUUGGCCAACAGAACUCUUGAGCGCAAACAUACUCUCCUUCAUAUCGGAAAUGUUCGCAUCAUGGCGAAUCCGCUUGUUCGAGAGCUUGUCAAUCAUAUCAGCAUUCCUCUUCACCAGCUCGUCAAGCAGGGCAGAAGAGAGGGCA
rnacentral:lncRNA from 1 species